GACGAACGCUGGCGGCGUGCUUAACACAUGCAAGUCGAGCGGUAAGGCCCUUUCGGGGGUACACGAGCGGCGAACGGGUGAGUAACACGUGGGUGACCUGCCCUCAGCUCUGGGAUAAGCCUGGGAAACCGGGUCUAAUACUGGAUAUGACUCCAUGACGCAUGUUGUGGGGUGGAAAGCCUUGUGCGGCUGAGGAUGGGCCCGCGGCCUAUCAGCUUGUUGGUGGGGNGAUGGCCUACCAAGGCGACGACGGGUAGCCGGCCUGAGAGGGCGACCGGCCACACUGGGACUGAGACACGGCCCAGACUCCUACGGGAGGCAGCAGUGGGGAAUCUUGCGCAAUGGGCGAAAGCCUGACGCAGCGACGCCGCGUGAGGGGUGACGGCCU
rnacentral:rRNA from 1 species